CUGGCCUCUUCCCAAGCCAUUAGCUUGAAUGGUGGUAGGAGAGGCAGUCCCAGCUACGGGAAGCUGAGGCAGGAGAAUUGCUUAAGCCCAGGAGGUGGAGGUUGCAAGGAGCCGAGAUUGCGCCACUGCACACCAGCCUGGCUGACAGAGAUUCCAUCUCAACAACAACAACGACAACAAAAAGCAGCGGGGAAAAUAAUACAACACAAAGCUGCUGUGGUCUGAAGGGCUUAAAACAGUACCUGGUGCAUAGUUAGUGCAAGCUUACUGAGUGUUGAGUGUUAUUA
rnacentral:lncRNA from 1 species